UAGUUGGAUCUGGGUCGCAUGGCUACAUGCUGUUGCUUAUAUUCUCAGCCUGGUUACGAUCGGGUUGGGUUUAUGGCUGGGCGUAGUGGUUGUGCAGCCUUUCUGCCGUGUCUGUUUUGCAGGUGCUGGUUGAUCGGUUUCGGUCUGCUAGCAUGCUUCCAGAUGCCUUUAAACGGGUGUCGGGAGCGGACGGCAUGUUUACUUUGAACAAAUUUGAGUGCUCAAAGCAGGCCCUUGUGCCUGAAAAGUCUUGCAUGGAAUAAUGGAAUAGGACUUCGGUUCUAUUUUGUUGGUUUUCGGAUCCGAAGUAAUGGUUAAGAGGGACAGACGGGGGCAUUUGUAUGGCGGUGUUAGAGGUGAAAUUCUUGGAUCGCCGCCAGACAAACUACAGCGAAAGCAUUUGCCAAGGAUGUUUUCAUUGAUCUGGAGCGAAAGUUAGAGGUUCGAAGACGAUCAGAUACCGUCCUAGUUCUAACCAUAAACGAUGCCAACUGACGAUCCGUGGGGGUUCUAUUAUUGGCCCCGCGGGCAGUCCCCGGGAAACCCUUAAGUCUUUGGGCUCCGGGGGAAGUAUGGUUGCAAAGCUGAAACUUAAAGGAAUUGACGGAAGGGCACCACCAGGAGUGGAGCCUGCGGUUUAAUUCGACUCAACACGGGAAAUCUCACCCGGCCCGGACACUGUGAGGAUUGACAGAUUGAUAGCUCUUUCUUGAUUCGGUGGUUGGUGGUGCAUGGCCGUUCUUAGUUGGUGGAGCGAUUUGUCUGGUUAAUUCCGAUAACGAACGAGACUUUUGCCUGCUAAAUAGUAUGCCUGUCCUCUGUGCUCGUUUAGGUCACGAUGUACGCUGCCUCCUUGUGGGGUAGUGGUGUCGUUGUCCGACGGGUGCGGCGCAGGUAAUUACUUCUUAGAGGGACAAGCGGCGUGACAGUCGCACGAAAUUGAGCAAUAACAGGUCUGUGAUGCCCUUAGAUGUCCGGGGCCACACGUGCGCUACAAUGAUGGUUUCAGCGAGUUUGGAAUCCUGGUCCGAAAGGAUUGGGUAAACUGAACCAUAACCAUCGUGACUGGGAUCGGGGCUUGCAAUUGUUCCCCGUGAACGAGGAAUUCCUGGUAAGUGCAAGUCAUAAGCUUGCGCUGAUUACGUCCCUGCCCUUUGUACACACCGCCCGUCGCUACUACCGAUUGAAUGGUUUAGCAAGGUCAUCGGAUCGGUGCCAUUGUAGUGGCUUCGGCCGCUCGACAGGUACUGAGAAGACGA
rnacentral:rRNA from 1 species